AUCCAUCUGACGAGUCCCAAACAGGCCGAAACGCACGUCCUGGAU
rnacentral:hammerhead_ribozyme from 1 species